GAUGAAGAACGUAGCGAAAUGCGAUAAGUAAUGUGAAUUGCAGAAUUCAGUGAAUCAUCGAAUCUUUGAACGCACAUUGCGCCCCUUGGUAUUCCGGGGGGCAUGCCUGUUCGAGCGUCAUUUCAACCCUCAAGCUCUGCUUGGUAUUGGGCUCCGUCCUCCUCGGACGCGCCUCAAAGACCUCGGCGGUGGCGUCUUGCCUCAAGCGUAGUAGAAACACCUCGCUUUGGAGUGCAUGGCGUCGCCCGCCGGACGAAACCUUUUGUAUUUUCUCAAAGGUUGACCUCGGAUCAGGUAGGGAUACCAGCUGAACUUAAGCAUAUCAAUAAGCGGAGGA
rnacentral:misc_RNA from 1 species